rnacentral:rRNA from 1 species
GACGAACGCUGGCGGCGUGCUUAACACAUGCAAGUCGAACGGAAAGGCCCUGCUUUUGUGGGGUGCUCGAGUGGCGAACGGGUGAGUAACACGUGAGUAACCUGCCCUUGACUUUGGGAUAACUUCAGGAAACUGGGGCUAAUACCGGAUAGGAGCUCCUGCUGCAUGGUGGGGGUUGGAAAGUUUCGGCGGUUGGGGAUGGACUCGCGGCUUAUCAGCUUGUUGGUGGGGUAGUGGCUUACCAAGGCUUUGACGGGUAGCCGGCCUGAGAGGGUGACCGGCCACAUUGGGACUGAGAUACGGCCCAGACUCCUACGGGAGGCAGCAGUGGGGAAUAUUGCACAAUGGGCGGAAGCCUGAUGCAGCAACGCCGCGUGCGGGAUGACGGCCUUCGGGUUGUAAACCGCUUUCGCCUGUGACGAAGCGUGAGUGACGGUAAUGGGUAAAGAAGCACCGGCUAACUACGUGCCAGCAGCCGCGGUGAUACGUAGGGUGCGAGCGUUGUCCGGAUUUAUUGGGCGUAAAGGGCUCGUAGGUGGUUGAUCGCGUCGGAAGUGUAAUCUUGGGGCUUAACCCUGAGCGUGCUUUCGAUACGGGUUGACUUGAGGAAGGUAGGGGAGAAUGGAAUUCCUGGUGGAGCGGUGGAAUGCGCAGAUAUCAGGAGGAACACCAGUGGCGAAGGCGGUUCUCUGGGCCUUUCCUGACGCUGAGGAGCGAAAGCGUGGGGAGCGAACAGGCUUAGAUACCCUGGUAGUCCACGCUGUAAACGGUGGGUACUAGGUGUGGGGUCCAUUCCACGGGUUCCGUGCCGUAGCUAACGCUUUAAGUACCCCGCCUGGGGAGUACGGCCGCAAGGCUAAAACUCAAAGGAAUUGACGGGGCCCCGCACAAGCGGCGGAGCAUGCGGAUUAAUUCGAUGCAACGCGUAGAACCUUACCUGGGUUUGACAUGGAUCGGGAGUGCUCAGAGAUGGGUGUGCCUCUUUUGGGGUCGGUUCACAGGUGGUGCAUGGCUGUCGUCAGCUCGUGUCGUGAGAUGUUGGGUUAAGUCCCGCAACGAGCGCAACCCUUGUUCACUGUUGCCAGCACGUUAUGGUGGGGACUCAGUGGAGACCGCCGGGGUCAACUCGGAGGAAGGUGGGGAUGGCGUCAAGUCAUCAUGCCCCUUAUGUCCAGGGCUUCACGCAUGCUACAAUGGCUGGUACAGAGAGUGGCGAGCCUGUGAGGGUGAGCGAAUCUCGGAAAGCCGGUCUCAGUUCGGAUUGGGGUCUGCAACUCGACCUCAUGAAGUCGGAGUCGCUAGUAAUCGCAGAUCAGCAACGCUGCGGUGAAUACGUUCCCGGG